rnacentral:rRNA from 1 species
CCUACGGGUGUCAGCAGUGAGGAAUAUUGGUCAAUGGUCGUAAGGCUGAACCAGCCAAGCCGCGUGAAGGAUGAAGGCCCUAUGCAUUGUAAACUUCUUUUAUGAAGGGAAAAACUUCGUCUCGUGUGCUUUUCUGUAGUUACUGCAUGAAUAAGCACCGGCUAAAUCCGUGCCAGCAGCCGCGGUAAUACGGAGGGUGCGGGCGUUAUCCGGAUUUGUUGGGUUUAACGGGUGCGGAGGCCGGCGUUUAAGUGAGCAGUGAAAUGCCGGGGCUCAACCAUGGCGGGGCGGUGGAAACUGGCGGGCUUGAGUGCGCGGAAGGUAGGCGGAAUUCGUGGUGUAGCGGUGAAAUGCUUAGAUAUCACGAAGAACUCCGAUUGCGAAGGCAGCAUACGGGAGAGGAACUGACGCUGAAGCUCGAAGGCGUGGGUAUCGAACAGGAUUAGAUACCCGUGUAGUC